rnacentral:rRNA from 1 species
AUCCCAGCUUGCUGGGGGAUUAGUGGCGAACGGGUGAGUAACACGUGAGUAACCUGCCCUUUGACUCUGGGAUAAGCCUGGGAAACUGGGUCUAAUACCGGAUAUGACUCCUCAUCGCAUGGUGGGGGGUGGAAAGCUUUUGUGGUUUUGGAUGGACUCGCGGCCUAUCAGCUUGUUGGUGGGGUAAUGGCCUACCAAGGCGACGACGGGUAGCCGGCCUGAGAGGGUGACCGGCCACACUGGGACUGAGACACGGCCCAGACUCCUACGGGAGGCAGCAGUGGGGAAUAUUGCACAAUGGGCGCAAGCCUGAUGCAGCGACGCCGCGUGAGGGAUGACGGCCUUCGGGUUGUAAACCUCUUUCAGUAGGGAAGAAGCGUAAGUGACGGUACCUGCAGAAGAAGCGCCGGCUAACUACGUGCCAGCAGCCGCGGUAAUACGUAGGGCGCAAGCGUUAUCCGGAAUUAUUGGGCGUAAAGAGCUCGUAGGCGGUUUGUCGCGUCUGCUGUGAAAGACCGGGGCUCAACUCCGGUUCUGCAGUGGGUACGGGCAGACUAGAGUGCAGUAGGGGAGACUGGAAUUCCUGGUGUAGCGGUGAAAUGCGCAGAUAUCAGGAGGAACACCGAUGGCGAAGGCAGGUCUCUGGGCUGUAACUGACGCUGAGGAGCGAAAGCAUGGGGAGCGAACAGGAUUAGAUACCCUGGUAGUCCAUGCCGUAAACGUUGGGCACUAGGUGUGGGGGACAUUCCACGUUUUCCGCGCCGUAGCUAACGCAUUAAGUGCCCCGCCUGGGGAGUACGGCCGCAAGGCUAAAACUCAAAGGAAUUGACGGGGGCCCGCACAAGCGGCGGAGCAUGCGGAUUAAUUCGAUGCAACGCGAAGAACCUUACCAAGGCUUGACAUGAACCGGUAAUGCCUGGAAACAGGUGCCCCGCUUGCGGUCGGUUUACAGGUGGUGCAUGGUUGUCGUCAGCUCGUGUCGUGAGAUGUUGGGUUAAGUCCCGCAACGAGCGCAACCCUCGUUCUAUGUUGCCAGCGCGUGAUGGCGGGGACUCAUAGGAGACUGCCGGGGUCAACUCGGAGGAAGGUGGGGACGACGUCAAAUCAUCAUGCCCCUUAUGUCUUGGGCUUCACGCAUGCUACAAUGGCCGGUACAAAGGGUUGCGAUACUGUGAGGUGGAGCUAAUCCCAAAAAGCCGGUCUCAGUUCGGAUUGGGGUCUGCAACUCGACCCCAUGAAGUCGGAGUCGCUAGUAAUCGCAGAUCAGCAA